ACUAUACUAAAAGGAGAAUACUCUCCAAUUCUAAGCUGUCCACGUCAUUUAAUUAAAUUGACCAAUGGCAGAGAGUUUUUUUGCCACGUCUGUUUAGCUAAUGUCGAUAAUGAUGAAAGAUGGGCUUUACGUUUGGGUUUAAAUUACUUUGCUAUCUUGGCCCAGCUAUUAUUUCCUCCAGUUUUAUAAUUGUCGUCUCCUCUUUUUCCAUUAAUAUGCUUGACCAGACACUGAUUGCAGUUAUUUUUCUUUUCAUAACAACAAAAAUAACCUAAUGAUUUCCCCUUCGACUUCUCCUCUUUCACCCGAUAUAAACUGAUGUAGCUUUAAAGCUACCACCAGAAAUCAAAUACAUCAUGGAACUCAGAAGCAAAUAAUUAGAUCGAACCUAUCUCCACUCCAGAGAGCUGAAACUGAUAUAGUUCCUUUCAUAUUCCAAAGGAAUCGGGAUAGUGUAUCUGAGAAGAGAAUUUUGAUUAUUAUCAUUUUGGAUGUUCUCAAUGUCACUGAAAAUCCGGAGCCUGAGUCAUUGGAAACAUCACUCUCUGUUACGCUUCCUCUUGAUUCAUAAGCAACGUACAUGCAAAUCAUCGGCAAACCCAUGAUCUAGAGAUUUUGGGAGAGGCUGGUGUUACCUUCUAUGCUCGAUGACUUUGAUAAAAUGAAAAUUCGUUGGCUCAGUUAUUGAUUUUGGUGUAGGAUGCGCUAUCACAGAUGGUUUCGGAACCAGAAGAAUGGCCUUCGCAAGCUAUUUGGAAGAUAUCAAGAGUCUACAAGACAAUUUCUCGAGCUCACAGAUCAUACAUGUACCACGAACGGAGAAUUCAAAGGCGGAUCGUUUAGCACGCAGUGCCAGACAACAAUCGUCCUUCGUCGUUCACAUGGAUGCAGAGCCCCCAGUUUGAGAAUUUGAUGGUAACAGGAAUUUGUUGCACGAGAUCAAUAGACUUUCACGGUUUCACCUAAGGCAAAGAUAAGCUCUUUAUUAGUUCUCUUGACAAAAGUCUAUGGCGUAAAUCACCAUGGCAUCUCCUUCUGUUAUCUGUGGACCUAAUUAGUUUAGAAUACUUCUGACAAUUUGGAAGAAGUAUACUUGAUAUAGUAAUAUCAAUACAAUAUUUUCUAUGUCUGUGUUUUGUCUAGGAUUAGUCUCUUCAAUUUGUUCAAAGUGCUUCUCUUCAGAUUGAUCAUAUAAUUUGGAAGCUUAAUUAAAUCUAUUAUAUUUGCUCCGUGUUUGAUUAUCUUUUCUCUAGGCACUUCUCUACCCGGAUGUUCUGUCCAACAUUGCUCCAGCAAGUAGUGAACCUUAUGCCAUAACAACAGUACGAGGUACUAAAGCUGCAACAAGCUCUCAAGCAAGACCACAUGGUGCAGCCUUCAUAGCACUCAGGGACAAGCAACCGGGUUGGUCGGUUUCAUUUGACUGAAACUUGCAGAAAUGAACAUGGUUUCCCACACUCAAGUUACCAAAACAAGAAUAAGCUCUCUCUCCAAGUAUACACUGCAGGCAAG